rnacentral:rRNA from 1 species
UGGGGAAUAUUGCACAAUGGGCGCAAGCCUGAUGCAGCCAUGCCGCGUGUGUGAAGAAGGCCUUCGGGUUGUAAAGCACUUUCAGCGAGGAGGAAGGUGGUGAGCUUAAUACGCUCAUCAAUUGACGUUACUCGCAGAAGAAGCACCGGCUAACUCCGUGCCAGCAGCCGCGGUAAUACGGAGGGUGCAAGCGUUAAUCGGAAUUACUGGGCGUAAAGCGCACGCAGGCGGUUUGUUAAGUCAGAUGUGAAAUCCCCGGGCUCAACCUGGGAACUGCAUUUGAAACUGGCAAGCUAGAGUCUCGUAGAGGGGGGUAGAAUUCCAGGUGUAGCGGUGAAAUGCGUAGAGAUCUGGAGGAAUACCGGUGGCGAAGGCGGCCCCCUGGACGAAGACUGACGCUCAGGUGCGAAAGCGUGGGGCAGCAAACAGGAUUAGAUACCCCUGGUAGUCCACGCUGUAAACGAUGUCGAUUUUGGAGGUUGUGCCCUUGAGGCGUGGCUUCCGGAGCUAACGCGUUAAAUCGACCGCCUGGGGAGUACGGCCGCAAGGUUAAAACUUAAAUGAAUUGACGGGGUCAUAGCUGUUUCCU